ACCGAACAUUUUCUCACUUGCUUUCGUUCUUUUAGAUCCCGUAAUUCUUCGGCGAAUACUUCACGCUGCGCAAGACGGACUAAAACGUUGACGGCUUCUACUCGCUCUUGAACGAAUUGUUGCUCCUUUUUUGCUGAACAAGUUGCCGAAGG